rnacentral:rRNA from 1 species
UACGUAGGGUGCAAGCGUUGUCCGGAAUUAUUGGGCGUAAAGAGCUCGUAGGCGGUUUUGUCGCGUCUGCUGUGAAAAAUCCGGGGCUCAACCCCGGACUUGCAGUGGGUACGGGCAGACUAGAGUGUGGUAGGGGGAGACUGGAAUUCCUGGUGUAGCGGUGAAAUGCGCAGAUAUCAGGAGGAACACCAAUGGCGAAGGCAGCUCGCUGGGACGGUACUGACGCUGAGGCGCGAAAGCGUGGGGGAGCAAACAGG